rnacentral:rRNA from 1 species
AAUAUUGGACAAUGGGUGAAAGCCUGCUUCAGCCAUUCCGCGUGUGUGAAGAAGGUCGUCGGAUUGUAAAGCACUUGCUGUUGGGAGGAAGGGCAUUCAGUGAAUACCUUGCUGUUUUGACGUUACCUACAGAAUAAGCACCGGCUAGCUACGUUCCAGCAGCCGCGGUAAUACGAACGGUGCAAGCGUUAAUCGGAAUUACUGGGCGUACAGCGCGCGUAGGUGGUUUGUUAAGUUGGAAGGGAAAGCACCGGGCUCAACCUGGGAACUGCUUUCAAAACUGGCAAGCUAGAGUAUGGCAGAGGAUGGUGGAAUUUCCUGUGUAGCGGUGAAAUGCGUAGAUAUAGGAAGGAACACCAGUGGCGAAGGCGACUACCUGGACUGAUACUAACAAUGAGGUGCGAAAGCGUGGGGAGCAAAC